GUGAUCUGUUGGUGCCGCUCGGGCCCCGGAGCCCCUCCUCCACCGCUCGUUCUCCUCUCAGCUCGGCUUGUGUGGGGAAUACAAUGGACUCACCUGGGAGCGAGCGAGGGGCGAGGCCGGUGCAGGAGGAGGGGGCCGGCGGCGCAGGUGCUCGCCAUGUAAAGCAGCUGCCGAGCGCCUGUGAAGACAGCCAUGUUGUGGACCUAACUGCUGUCAGCCGAGAUUCUGAUUGAUGGCUCGGCCGGCGCACCUGGCUCCAAGGGCAACGCGGAGCUCAAGGACUGCACCGGCAACCAGCGCAGGUGAAGUUCUUGUCACCCUCACAGGUUUGAUGCGCAUGUGUGGGGUUUCCCAUGCAGCUUUCAGCAGAGGUUCUCAAUGCACCACCGUGAGACAAACCAGCCCAGGGUCUCCUUAAGUUCCAGGUUGAAGCAGAACAACUGUCUGCAGCGACAUGGACAAAGAUAGCGUUGAGUCCGGCCUCACAUGGGAGGUGAGGGCAAACAGCCGCCGCCACCACGCGCAGAAGAGAUCCUUUCUGUGCUUCCACUGGGGCCGAUACGCGGACAAUGUGGUGCGCAGCUACAAGUACUCCCCCCUGACGUUCCUCCCGCUGACGCUGUUCGAGCAGUUCCAGCGAGCGGCCAACCUCUACUUCCUGCUCAUACUGGUUUUGCAGGUCAGAUGCUGGCGACGAAGUCAAACAACAACAAACAGACAAAACGUAUAGUGUGUGGCUACAUUUGAGAAAACAUAAACACUAAGGCAGCUACAUGCGAAAUCAUCUAGUAACAAAUCAAAAACAUAUGACAA